GACGAACGCUGACGGCGUGCUUAACACAUGCAAGUCGAAGGGAGUGGCGAACGGGUGAGUAACACGUGAGUAACCUGCCCUUUUCUUUGGGAUAAGCCUGGGAAACUGGGCCUAAUACUGGAUGGGAUGGGAUGGGCUCGGGGCUUUUAAGCUUUUUGGUGGGGUGCUGGCUUACCAAGGCUUUGGCGGUUAGCCGGCCUGAGGGGGUGGUCGGGCACACUGGGACGGAGGUACGUCCCAGACUCGUACGGGAGGCAGCAGUGGGGGAUAUGGCACAAUGGACGAAAGUCUGAUGCAGCGACUACGUGUGGGGGAUGAAGGCUGUAGGGUUGUAAACUCCUUUCGCACGCGGACUGGUAGUGGGUAAAGAAGCGCCGGCUAACUACGUGCCAGCAGCCGCGGUAAUUC
rnacentral:rRNA from 1 species